rnacentral:tRNA from 1 species
UGUGGCAGAUUAGUGCAAUGAAUUUAAGUUUCAUGUAUAAAGUUGAAGCUUUUGUUAAAAA